rnacentral:rRNA from 1 species
UUGGCUCAGGAUGAACGCUGGCGGCAGGCUUAACACAUGCAAGUCGAGGGGUAACGCGAGGUAGCAAUACUUUGGCGACRACCGGCGCACGGGUGCGUAACGCGUAUGCAACCUACCUGUAACAGGGGUAUAACGGAGGGAAACUUCCACUAAUCCCCAUAUUGUUGUGGUACCGCAUGAUAUUACAACGAAAGCUUCGGUGGUUACGGAUGGGCAUGCGUGACAUUAGCUAGUUGGUAAGGUAACGGCUUACCAAGGCGACGAUGUCUAGGGGAGCUGAGAGGCUUAUCCCCCACACUGGUACUGAGACACGGACCAGACUCCUACGGGAGGCAGCAGUGGGGAAUA